rnacentral:rRNA from 1 species
GAUGAACGCUGGCGGCGUGCCUAAUACAUGCAAGUCGAGCGAACGGACGAGAAGCUUGCUUCUCUGAUGUUAGCGGCGGACGGGCGAGUAACACGUGGAUAACCUACCUAUAAGACUGGGAUAACUUCGGGAAACCGGAGCUAAUACCGGAUCAUAUUUUGAACCGCAUGGUUCAAAAGUGAAAGACGGUCUUGCCGUCACUUAUAGAUGGAUCCGCGCUGCAUUAGCUAGUUGGUAAGGUAACGGCUUACCAAGGCAACGAUGCAUAGCCGACCUGAGAGGAUGAUCGGCCACACUGGAACUGAGACACGGUCCAGACUCCUACGGGAGGCAGCAGUAGGGAAUCUUCCGCAAUGGGCGAAAGCCUGACGGAGCAACGCCGCGUGAGUGAUGAAGGUCUUCGGAUCGUAAAACUCUGUUAUUAGGGAAGAACAUAUGUGUAAGUAACUGUGCACAUCUUGACGGUACCUAAUCAGAAAGCCACGGCUAACUACGUG